rnacentral:lncRNA from 1 species
CUUGAAUAAAAGAAUCUUUUAAACUUUUGUUUUUAUCUUCCAAUAAUUCUAUUUCUAAGCAUAUAAUCCUAAAAGCGAGAUCUUACAUUCUAUUUAUUAUUUACAAAUCUUUGUCACAGACACAAAAUACAGACUUGAAAUCUAACAAGAAGUUCAAGAAGAAGUGGUAGAACUAGAUUAAAUAGAUGAGUACAAGAACAAUACUAGAAAGGUGAGCUAGAACUCCAAGAGAUGUGUUGUCGAGACU